AUGAAAACGUUGAAGGAACGAGUAUGGAGCAGUUCCACUUGUAUAGAGAGGUUUGCCCGAGGCUGGAAGGUGAACUAAGUGAAGGGCUUCAGAACGCUAAUCCUGAGUGUAGCUAAUCGCUACCGUUAACCCGCGUUAAGGUAUGAAAGAGAUAGACGAAUGUCUAUAAUUAGGGUGGUACCGCGUGAACAAGCUCUCGUCCCUUUA
rnacentral:ncRNA from 1 species